GUCGUUGAAAAAUCAAAUUGAGCACAAAGAGGGAGAGACACAGAAAGAUAGUGAUUUUAAACCGCCGGAAAUCAUACUGGAGUAUACAAUUUGAAAUUCCGUCAUCAGUUCUCUGCAAAAAUGGAAAUUCCCAAGGAUCAAAUCGCCACUCUUCUCGAUAGCGACCUCUAUAGCUCGGCUCAAAUACUUGGUUCUUUCCUCGUUUCAUCGUCUUCCAUUAAUCCUGAAACCACCCCUCACCUCAAGGCCGAAAAUCUGAUUUUUCUUGGAGACGCA
rnacentral:misc_RNA from 1 species